AUGUUAAUUUUCAUAUAUCUUUUACAGGACAGCAAAGCAAAUACACAGCCAUCAGAACCUCCUUCUUUUCUGUCAAGUCUCAGGAUGUGCCUCUUUCCCAACCUUGAGCUGAACACAGUAGAUAUGGAUUGAUUCUCAAGAGCCAGAAGAAUUUUAUUGCUCCAUCUAGUCCUCAAGAUACCCACAGUCUGAUCUUAUCUACCUUAUUGUACCUGUUUCCCACCCCUUCUUCAAGUCCUUCUAUUACUAAAUCAAUGGAUCAGGCGACAGUCAUCCAUUGGUAUGUGUGUUCAGAAUCCCAUAAUUUUGCUCCCUGUGAAAUAUUCUCUCAUCUAUUCUGUCUAUUGAAAUGAUCCAAUCAUCUGGAUGAUUCCUUCUACAGGAAAUGCUCUCAUUCCCAUGACAUGAGAAUACUCUCUGUGUCCUCUUAACUCCUUCUCCAUAAAUACUGAAGGGAUAAUUAGGUAUUUUACUACUAAUGGGGUGAAACAAAUCAAUAUAUAAAACAAAAAAUUAAAUGUUCUUUUUUAUUCCAUAAAUAAGCUAAAUUAGGUAGUAUAGGACUCUUCACUAAGUGAUAUCAAUUGUGGUCCAAAUUAUUAUAGAAUCAUUCUUAUAAUUUCCAAGUCACUUAUUGAUGCUAGGACAUUCCUAGCAUGAUUCUUUGAAUACAAGUGUUACUAAUUAAAUAAUAAUUCUGUUUGAAAUUUUUACAGGGAUAUGCACAGGUUUACAAGAACGUUUCAUUAGAUAUAUUGUCCUUAGGUGACUCAGUUCAAUAAAAAGAGAAUUUCUCUUAACA
rnacentral:lncRNA from 1 species